CGAGGGCGAGGCGCCACUGAGGUCUUUAUCAGAAUAGAAACACGAGGCCCCGUACUCGUAGGAUGCCCGGUUGCAGGCCAGGACCGAGUUGGACUGUUGGUAGAAACAAGAGGUCUGGGCCUUGCAGCCAAAGGCUGAAAGCUCACUUCACAACUACCCAGCACAAGGCCAAACUUAAGCUCUUCCUGCUGCCUCUUCCUCCCACAUACAACACGUCUUGAGCACUGAUGGGCUCUUCUGCAAUGGCCUUUGCCUUCUUGGUCUCAAAGCAAGCACCGCCAGCAACUGCGCAUUCCCAUCCUGUCUUUGAACCCCCGCAAUGGAGAGACCAGAAACCACUGUCUCAACAAGAAAAGACCAUAGAGGAACAGCUGUAAGACUGAGAUCUGAAUCCAGAGGUGGGACCUGCUCCCCUCACCCAGCAUGGGGGACUCUCCACCUUUGUAUCUGUCUCAGAGCUGAGACAGAUACAAAUCCAGAUGCAGACCUGCUCCCUCUUCAUUCCAGAGGCUCAGGGGAUGCAGGGCCCUUAGCCAAGCAGGGCAGAGAGAACAGCCCGGUGGGGCCUAAGGACAGGGGAUAAUUAAUGGGCUUGGUUUCAGGAGCCCCAGUAGCUCACACUGUGUGGGUUGUACCCUCUUUCCUGUCCUUCCUGAGACUACUCAGGGAGCUGCCACAAGCAGUAGCUCCAGAACCCAGAAUAGUUGUCUCAACGGCUCCAGAAAUCCUGAAUUGCUUUUACCGCUGUCCCAAGUCUGGCAGUCCCCAGAUAGGACAUGAAAAACCAGUUCUGGGCUACUCUCUUUUGCUUAAGAGGUGUACAUUCAAGAUAGUUGCCUUUUACAGCACAGGGAUCAAUCUCAUUUUGCAAAAUGUGAUAUCGGUCCAAUGGCAUUUUUAAGACUGUGUUUGUUAGGCUUGUAAAAUCCCUUGAAUUAGCUUUAAAAACCCUCAAUUCUGUGGAGGUUGAAGAAAGAGAAUUGAUGUGAUUUGGUUUGAUUUCAGAAGGCUGUUUGUCAGAUCUAUAAAACUCUGGCCAACACAGGCUAAUGGGGUUCAGGACUGAGCGGGGGGAGUGGCAAGUGGCAAUGCUCCCAUAGGAAUCUGUGAACGACUUUCUUAAUCCCUUCCUUACUUUUCGAUUUUUUCCUUGACUUCCCUUUGCCCAAAGGGAGAAAAAAAAUCAGAAAAGGACUGGCCUAAGGUCAGCUUACACAAAGCCCAAGGUUGCCAGGAAGCCUUGUGCCAGUGUCUUGAUUAAACUCACUGGGGAAAGUUUUCCCUUUACAUAGAAAGAAGGCUCAUUCUUAGACAAAAUUUGUCAUUUCCUACACAUUUCUUCAGGGGGAUGAUCUAAUAGGUGAAAAUGAAAACUCAGGAAUCAAAAUGUAAAAAGGAAAUUAUUUUCUCAAAAAGUCAAGUUUGAAGAAUAUUCUAUUUCUGUAAUCGUUUCUUAAAAUCAUUAGAUGGCAGUGAUUUCAAGCAAGCUAUUAUUUAAAAUGAAAAAAAUCGUUUUACAAAUAUUGAUAAAUAUUUACAUUUACAAUUCUCUUUUGUUUCUCCAUGUCCCACACAAUGUUGGAGCUUGUAGUUUUUUACUACUAUUAUUGUUUAUGCUUUGACCCAGAUUCUUGAUCUAAUAAUUGUCACAGCCUAUAAGAGAAUUUGAUUUCUCAGCUAAGAGUCAUAAAAUGUUAUAUUUCUAGCUUCUGUAAGCACUAAGAAGGGACAAUAUAUUAAAUUAAAAUCUACAUGUUACCCAA